rnacentral:rRNA from 1 species
UACGGGGGGGGCAAGCGUUGUUCGGAAUUACUGGGCGUAAAGGGCGCGUAGGCGGCCCGCUAAGUCGAACGUGAAAUCCCCGAGCUCAACUCGGGAACUGCGUCCGAUACUGGCGGGCUUGAAUCCGGGAGAGGGAUGCGGAAUUCCAGGUGUAGCGGUGAAAUGCGUAGAUAUCUGGAGGAAUACCGGUGGCGAAGGCGGCAUCCUGGACCGGCAUUGACGCUGAGGCGCGAAAGCUAGGGGAGCAAACGGG